rnacentral:rRNA from 1 species
UACGAAGGGGGCUAGCGUUGCUCGGAAUCACUGGGCGUAAAGGGUGCGUAGGCGGGUCUUUAAGUCAGGGGUGAAAUCCUGGAGCUCAACUCCAGAACUGCCUUUGAUACUGAGGAUCUUGAGUUCGGGAGAGGUGAGUGGAACUGCGAGUGUAGAGGUGAAAUUCGUAGAUAUUCGCAAAGAACACCAGUGGCGAAGGCGGCUCACUGGCCCGAUACUGA